rnacentral:sRNA from 13 species
CAUUUUACUAGUUUAACACUUUUUGAUAGCUGUAAAGACAAGCGAGUUAUGCGCCUUCAAAGUUGGAGGUGAAAGAGUGAGAGGCGGCAGAGAAAACGACUGCCUCCUUCUCUGUCGUCUCUCGCUCUCUGCCAUCCAACUUGAAAAACGCAUAACGCGCUUUGAAAUUGAGCUAGGUACCUC